UGUGGUUAUUUGUUCAGAAUAAUUAUUUUACAAUACCUACGAUAAUAUUUGAUAAUAAUACUUCUUAUUUUUUGGGUAAUCGGCCUCCAUAAGACCCAUAUUUCGUAUCAUAUAUCCAUAUGUAUCCUCGGAUCUAACCUCCAAUUUUUGUUUUGGUCCUAGGGAAGAACGGCUCAAGUCAAAUGCUGUAUAGUUUUCAAUACAAGCGAAUUGAAUUUUUUUAAAUAACGUAUAUUUGUAUAGUUGGUACAUUAAAUAUCAACACGAAAUACGUCGUACGUUGAAAAUGCCCAUUUAAGUCCGAAAACGAAAUUUGGAGUGGAAAUUACACGAACGAAAUAACAGAAAUGCUAAACACCGACUUCAGCCCCGCGGAAUCAAAGGUAAACCGUUCGGAGUACAGAGUGUCCCGCCUAUUGAAGUCUAUUACAAUAUAGCAUCUGGUGUACUUUUGUGGUGAUUUCCACAAAUGAUUGGUUUCCGAAAGAGUGCGUCAGAUUCCGUCAGCGCCGUUUAUAAUCUUUGGUAUGAUAUAUAGCGUCGUUUACAGUUCCGAAUAUAUUUUCCGCGGAAUAUCCCUUGCUGGGAACCACCGGCGCGUAUAAUAUAUAUAUGUCGUCCGCCCUUUGUGGUGCACGCACCAGAAAUGUCGAGGACUCGUUUGUUUUGACCCUUUUCCGCGACAUACGAUACGUGCACGCGUAUACCCCGAGACUAAAAUCGGGAAAACUAUUUGCGUCAAACGUCCGUCCUCCACGAGCAUUGUCCGAAGUGUUCGCCGCAGAAAAACGAUAUCGCCCCGCUGAAGCACUCCGAAAUCGUGUCUGCGGUCCCCGGAGACGACCCCCCAACAAUACGUUUCUCUCGUCUCUCGCCGUUUUAUCAAACCGGCACACGCGAAACCGCCGCACUCGGGAAGUCGAGACGUUAUUUUCUCUCGUCGCGUUGUAAUAACGUUAUUAUUGUAUAUUAAGCCGUACACAUAUAUUAUUGUUUCGUUACGUUGCACUAUAAUAUGCUGUAAUGGAGACAAUACACGCGCGCGUCGUCGUCGGGGAGGAUCUGCGAAAAAUCUCCCACGGAGAAUGUAUACGCAUUUGGUGUAUAAUGUCCCCUCGUCCGAAAAAAAUAUUAAUUAUUAAAACAUUCGGUAUAACCGCGAGCAUACCGGGGCACGGUGCACACUGUCAUUAUAUCAUUACAUAUAUAGUCACCGCAUGAAAUACGAGAAAUUUCUCCCAUCACGUCCUUAUAAAUCGAUAAACGCAAUAAUCGGAAUACUAUACUGUUUUACCGCUAUUAUUUAUAUUAUUACAGAUACUUAUUUUCAUUAUAGAAACCAAUUCGAGAUUAAUAACAGGCGCGAACAUGGCUCAAAAUCAACUGCACGGCCCUAACCGCUCCAAAAACGUUUGCUGUUCACUGGGAGCAGGUUUUUACUCCGAAUAUUAUUUGCGCCUCAAAAAUAGCCCAU